rnacentral:rRNA from 1 species
GACGAACGCUGGCGGCGUGCUUAACACAUGCAAGUCGAACGAGGUCCAUGAAGUAGCAAUACUUCGGAAGACCUAGUGGCGAACGGGUGCGUAACACGUGAGGAACUUGUCCCGGUCUCUGGGAUAACAGUUGGAAACGACUGCUAAUACCGGAUGACGUCGGAGCAUCGCAUGGUGCGCUGACGAAAGGGUUACUGGAUCGGGAGAGCCUCGCGGCCUAUCAGCUUGUUGGUGGGGUAACGGCCUACCAAGGCAUCGACGGGUAGCUGGUCUGAGAGGAUGAUCAGCCACACUGGGACUGAGACACGGCCCAGACUCCUACGGGAGGCAGCAGUGGGGAAUCUUGCGCAAUGGGCGAAAGCCUGACGCAGCAACGCCGCGUGCGGGAAGAAGGGCUCUCGGGUUGUAAACCGCUUUCAGCAGGAACGAAAAUGACGGUACUUGCAGAAGAAGGUGCGGCCAACUACGUGCCAGCAGCCGCGGUAAU